CUUGUUUUUUUCCCCUCCUCCUUAUUUUCAAGGGGAUAGUAUUUGGAGGAAAUUGUACCUCUUCUCUUUGUUUCCUUCAGCUAUGUUUUAAUAGAAAGGAUGCUUGUGCUGACAAGUUUGUGAACCCCGCUGUGGCUGGAUUGUGUAAACCUUGCACACCUCCACAUUUCUCGCAAAGUCAAUGGGGAGUCUCCAUUGUGCGAGGAUUGUGGCAUGAGGACCCUGGUUUGCCUUAAUGCAAUGGUGGAGUAACUAGCGCCUGCAAUAACUGCUUGGUUGAAGAUACUCGCUAACGAGAUUUGGGUAUGGCACAAAUAUAGCAGUGGUUUAUUUAGGCAACUGACUUGUCAGAGGCAGGCACAGCAUGGUAGUCCUUCCUGAAGAUACGUGUAUGGAGGACACACAAACAACAUUACUCCGUCUUCCCAGGUAAGAGCACUUUCUAACUUAUCUGAUCCUCCAAAGAAAGAUCCAAUUUAGAUUGAAUUGUGGCAACCCAGGCUCUUG